rnacentral:rRNA from 1 species
CCUACGGGGGGCUGCAGUGGGGAAUAUUGGACAAUGGGGGGAACCCUGAUCCAGCCAUGCCGCGUGUGUGAAGAAGGCCCUCGGGUUGUAAAGCACUUUCAGUGAGGAAGAACGCCUGGUGGUUAAUACCCAUCAGGAAAGACAUCACUCACAGAAGAAGCACCGGCUAACUCCGUGCCAGCAGCCGCGGUAAUACGGAGGGUGCGAGCGUUAAUCGGAAUUACUGGGCGUAAAGCGCGCGUAGGUGGCUUGAUAAGCCGGUUGUGAAAGCCCCGGGCUCAACCUGGGAACGGCAUCCGGAACUGUCAAGCUAGAGUGCAGGAGAGGAAGGUAGAAUUCCCGGUGUAGCGGUGAAAUGCGUAGAGAUCGGGAGGAACACCAGUGGCGAAGGCGGCCUUCUGGACUGACACUGACACUGAGGUGCGAAAGCGUGGGUAGCAAACAGGAUUAGAUACCCCAGUAGUC